UAUGGAGGGUGCGAGCGUUGUCCGGAAUCACUGGGCGUAAAGGGCGCGUAGGCGGCAUGCCAAGCGUGUGGUGAAAGCCCGGGGCUCAACCCCGGGUCGGCCGUGCGGACUGGCGUGCUCGAGCACUGUAGGGGCGGGUGGAAGUUCCGGGUGUAGCGGUGGAAUGCGUAGAGAUCCGGAAGAACACCGGUGGCGAAGGCGGCCCGCUGGGCAGGAAGGCUCGCAAGAGCCGGCUGACGCUGAGGCGCGACAGCGUGGGGAGCAAACAGG
rnacentral:rRNA from 1 species